rnacentral:lncRNA from 1 species
GGGGACGGGGAGGGCAGGCGGCGGAGGCGGGAGGGGAGGAACUGACGGAGCCGCGGUGCGACGGUCGGAGAGGGGCGGCCGAGGCCGGGGGCUGCACCUGCCGGCGAAGGAUGCUCCUGGGACUGGCCUCGGCCUGGUGACUUCCGUUCCUCGCCUACAGAAGCACACUUACCGAUGUCACGGGGAACGGCGUAUAAAUAAGUAUAAAUAUGUACAAAUAGUAUAUUUAAAAAUGAAAAAAACAAAACCACACACAAAAAAACAGCCAACAAUGAAGACAAACCAAUGUAUGUUGGGGAAAUGAACCCAAAUCCUAGAGACCAGACUCCACUCCCACCGCCAGUGAGCAGUAGUCAAAACUGAGGCGGAGGAAGGGACUUUUGGGGAAGGGAGAGGCACCAGAUUGAGUUCCCCAACCGGAGAAGCUACCGGCAGCGACCGCCUUCCUUCCUUCUUGCUUCCUUUGCUCUCCCUCCCUGCCCCAGCCCCUCCUGCUGCCCCUGCUCCCUUCUCUGCUCACGGCCCGGUGGAGCCUCCCCAGCAGCCUCCAUAGCUGCCCCCAUCGUGUCCAGGUGUCGCUCUGCCAACUACCAAAGGACUUCGCUGACCACUGCAAGGGGGGGAUCCGACUCAAUCCAGUUAAUGUCUUCAUAUUGAAGAAGAGAUGUACCUUCAAUAGAAAAACCUUGGUUUUUUUCUUUUGCUUGCAUUUUUUUGCAAAAAGGAAAAACAACAAAAAAAUCCAUCAUGGAAAAUGGAAAGAGGUGUUCCCGUGUGUGUGUGUGUGUGUGUGUGCGCGCGUGUACCUUGUCAACCUACCGUGGACUCGCUGCUUGGAGGUCGCCACCCACCUGAAGGCAGUGGACGGCCGGGUCCCAGGCCUGGAUCUGUGCCUGGAGCCGGCAGAGGCCCCAGCGAGGCCGGUGCUCAGCGCGGCACAGGCGGGACCAGGACGAGGAUGAGGAGGAUGCGAGGGGCCAGCGGGGACAGGACUGGAGGAGUCGCGGCGUGUGGGUACUGGGUUGUGGAGGAGGAGGAGGAGAGAUGCUCUGGGGAAGAGACUGAUGAGGCCUCCAGAGCCUCGGGGAUCUGCAGAAGAUGGCUACGGAGAACUUUAUUUCCCCCAUCUUGUGGACCUAAGGAUUUUGAUAUUGGGUUACAGACUUGGGUUUCAUGGCUUCAGAGGGGUACGGAUGCACCGGCAGCACCGCCUGUCCCGCGCCCUCCGCCGCCCAUGGGAUGA